AUUGCCUCAGUAACGGCGAGUGAAGCGGCAACAGCUCAAAUUUGAAAUCUGGUCCCAGGCCCGAGUUGUAAUUUGCAGAGGAUGCUUUUGGCAAGGUGCCUUCCGAGUUCCCUGGAACGGGACGCCAUAGAGGGUGAGAGCCCCGUCUGGUCGGACACCAAGCCUAUGUAAAGCUCCUUCGACGAGUCGAGUAGUUUGGGAAUGCUGCUCUAAAUGGGAGGUAUAUGUCUUCUAAAGCUAAAUACCGGCCAGAGACCGAUAGCGCACAAGUAGAGUGAUCGAAAGAUGAAAAGCACUUUGAAAAGAGAGUUAAACAGCACGUGAAAUUGUUGAAAGGGAAGCGUUUAUGACCAGACUUGGCCCGGUUGAUCAUCCAGCGUUCUCGCUGGUGCACUCUGCCGGUCCAGGCCAGCAUCAGUUCGCUGCGGGGGAUAAAGGUUUCGGGAAUGUGGCUCCUCCGGGAGUGUUAUAGCCCGUUGCGUAAUACCCUGCGGUGGACUGAGGUCCGCGCUUCUGCAAGGAUGCUGGCGUAAUGGUCAUCAACGACCCGUCUUGAAACACGGACCAAGGAGUCGUCUUCGUAUGCGAGUGUUCGGGUGUAAAACCCCUACGCGUAAUGAAAGUGAACGCAGGUGAGAGCUUCGGCGCAUCAUCGACCGAUCCUGAUGUUCUCGGAUGGAUUUGAGUAAGAGCAUACGGGGCCGGACCCGAAAGAAGGUGAACUAUGCCUGUAUAGGGUGAAGCCAGAGGAAACUCUGGUGGAGGCUCGCAGCGGUUCUGACGUGCAAAUCGAUCGUCAAAUAUGGGCAUGGGGGCGAAAGACUAAU
rnacentral:rRNA from 1 species